AUUCGAGUUGCAAACUGCUUUUUUAAAUUUUUGUUUCUGCUCAGAUUGAACGCUGGCGGCAGGCCUAACACAUGCAAGUCGAGCGGAUGAAGGGAGCUUGCUCCUGGAUUCAGCGGCGGACGGGUGAGUAAUGCCUAGGAAUCUGCCUGGUAGUGGGGGAUAACGUCCGGAAACGGGCGCUAAUACCGCAUACGUCCUGAGGGAGAAAGUGGGGGAUCUUCGGACCUCACGCUAUCAGAUGAGCCUAGGUCGGAUUAGCUAGUUGGUGGGGUAAAGGCCUACCAAGGCGACGAUCCGUAACUGGUCUGAGAGGAUGAUCAGUCACACUGGAACUGAGACACGGUCCAGACUCCUACGGGAGGCAGCAGUGGGGAAUAUUGGACAAUGGGCGAAAGCCUGAUCCAGCCAUGCCGCGUGUGUGAAGAAGGUCUUCGGAUUGUAAAGCACUUUAAGUUGGGAGGAAGGGCAGUAAGUUAAUACCUUGCUGUUUUGACGUUACCAACAGAAUAAGCACCGGCUAACUUCGUGCCAGCAGCCGCGGUAAUACGAAGGGUGCAAGCGUUAAUCGGAAUUACUGGGCGUAAAGCGCGCGUAGGUGGUUCAGCAAGUUGGAUGUGAAAUCCCCGGGCUCAACCUGGGAACUGCAUCCAAAACUACUGAGCUAGAGUACGGUAGAGGGUGGUGGAAUUUCCUGUGUAGCGGUGAAAUGCGUAGAUAUAGGAAGGAACACCAGUGGCGAAGGCGACCACCUGGACUGAUACUGACACUGAGUGCGAAAGCCC
rnacentral:rRNA from 1 species